GCGGGAGUGGCGGAAUCAGGCAGACGCGCCAGAUUUAGGUUCUGGUGUCCUCGGACGUGGGGGUUCAAGUCCCCCCUCCCGCACGA
rnacentral:tRNA from 2 species